GGGCUCGUAGCUCAGCGGUAGAGCGCCUUUCUGAUAAAAAGGAGGUCGGUGGUUCGACUCCACCCGAGCCCA
rnacentral:tRNA from 1 species